rnacentral:rRNA from 1 species
GAUGAACGCUGGCGGCGUGCUUAACACAUGCAAGUCGAACGGAAAGGCCCAAGCUUGCUUGGGUACUCGAGUGGCGAACGGGUGAGUAACACGUGGGUGAUCUGCCCUGCACUUCGGGAUAAGCCUGGGAAACUGGGUCUAAUACCGGAUAGGACCACUUCUUGGAUGUUGUGGUGGAAAGUUUUUUCGGUGUGGGAUGAGCUCGCGGCCUAUCAGCUUGUUGGUGGGGUAAUGGCCUACCAAGGCGUCGACGGGUAGCCGGCCUGAGAGGGUGUACGGCCACCUUGGGACUGAGAUACGGCCCAGACUCCUACGGGAGGCAGCCGUGGGGAAUAUUGCACAAUGGGCGCAAGCCUGAUGCAGCGACGCCGCGUGGGGGAUGACGGCCUUCGGGUUGUAAACUCCUUUCGCUAGGGACGAAGCGUUUUGUGACGGUACCUGGAGAAGAAGCACCGGCUAACUACGU